CCUACGGGGGGCUGCAGUGGGGAAUAUUGGACAAUGGGGGGAACCCUGAUCCAGCCAUGCCGCGUGUGUGAAGAAGGCCUUUUGGUUGUAAAGCACUUUAAGCGAGGAGGAGGCUACUCUAGUUAAUACCUAGGGAUAGUGGACGUUACUCGCAGAAUAAGCACCGGCUAACUCUGUGCCAGCAGCCGCGGUAAUACAGAGGGUGCAAGCGUUAAUCGGAUUUACUGGGCGUAAAGCGCGCGUAGGUGGCCAAUUAAGUCAAAUGUGAAAUCCCCGAGCUUAACUUGGGAAUUGCAUUCGAUACUGGUUGGCUAGAGUAUGGGAGAGGAUGGUAGAAUUCCAGGUGUAGCGGUGAAAUGCGUAGAGAUCUGGAGGAAUACCGAUGGCGAAGGCAGCCAUCUGGCCUAAUACUGACACUGAGGUGCGAAAGCAUGGGGAGCAAACAGGAUUAGAUACCCGAGUAGUC
rnacentral:rRNA from 1 species